UUGAAAAGUGGAAAUUUCAAGUAUAUGAUUGUAGCCACAACAUUCAUACACUAGAUGCAAUCAAGUUACGUGCAGCCCCAGUUUUGGAUGUAGUACAAUCAUUAUUAAUAGCUACUGACAUUUUCUUCGGGAAGCCAAAUUUACGAAAACAUAGAAAUAAACGUAUGAAAUUGGAAAUCAUACCGUAUCUACCUUGUCAAAAUAAUGGGCCAAACUCUGGAGUUCUUCUUCUCAAAUACAUUGAAUGCUUCAUUUUCGGAUAUCCAUUAGAAGCAGUUUCAACUGAGAAAAUACGUUUAUACAGAUGAAAAAUUGUCACAGAUAUCUGUCAAAAUGAAUAUUUUUUCCGUCCAUAUUUAUCAUAACCAUAACAAAGAAGGUAUGCCCUAUCAUGAUUGAUGUUGAAACCAAGAAGAAAAAACUUUUCAUCACCCAUCAUAUAAG